rnacentral:rRNA from 1 species
UACGAAGGGGGCUAGCGUUGUUCGGAUUUACUGGGCGUAAAGCGCACGUAGGCGGAUUGUUAAGUUAGAGGUGAAAUCCCGGAGCUCAACUCCGGAACUGCCUUUAAUACUGGCAAUCUCGAGUCCGGAAGAGGUAAGUGGAACUCCUAGUGUAGAGGUGGAAUUCGUAGAUAUUAGGAAGAACACCAGUGGCGAAGGCGGCUUACUGGUCCAGUACUGACGCUGAGGUGCGAAAGCGUGGGGAGCAAACAGG